rnacentral:rRNA from 1 species
UACAGAGGUGGCAAGCGUUGUUCGGAAUUACUGGGCGUAAAGGGCGCGUAGGCGGCCUUCUAAGUCAGACGUGAAAUCCCCCGGCUUAACCUGGGAACUGCGUCUGAUACUGGGAGGCUUGAGUAUGGGAGAGGGAUGUAGAAUUCCAGGUGUAGCGGUGAAAUGCGUAGAUAUCUGGAGGAAUACCGGUGGCGAAGGCGGCAUCCUGGACCAUAACUGACGCUGAGGCGCGAAAGCCGGAGGGAGCAAACGGG